AUGGCCAUUUCAUCAAAUACGGUCGUGGUUUUCAUGUUGCUGCUCAGUACUGCCUUCAUGCAGCUUCCUGUGCCAGCUGAUGCAAGGAGGCUAGAAGUGAAGGCGCCUAUCAUCAGCGUGCGUCCUCCCUGCACUGGAAGGGGCACUCUGGAGGCGCCUGCUGAGCAAGUCGAGUCGACAACUCCAGGUCAUAGCCCUAGCAUUGGCCAUAAUAGUCCACCAAACUGA
rnacentral:rRNA from 1 species